rnacentral:rRNA from 1 species
GACGGAGGAUGCAAGCGUUAUCCGGAAUGAUUGGGCGUAAAGCGUCCGCAGGUGGCAGUUCAAGUCUGCUGUCAAAGACCGGGGCUUAACUUCGGAAAGGCAGUGGAAACUGAACAGCUAGAGUAUGGUAGGGGCAGAGGGAAUUCCUGGUGUAGCGGUGAAAUGCGUAGAGAUCAGGAAGAACAUCGGUGGCGAAGGCGCUCUGCUGGACCAUAACUGACACUCAGGGACGAAAGCUAGGGGAGCGAA